rnacentral:lncRNA from 1 species
UUUAAAAAAAUGUUUCCCCUUUUUUUCUAAUAGCUUUUGCUUUACUAAUUUGAAUCUAUGUUAUUUGGUAAGUGAUAAUUUGUACUAUAUCUUCAUUGUGCAUUAUAAUAAUCAAUUUAAGUCAUUCAUAUAUUCCUCAAAUUAAGGUUAUCAUUUUGCUUUAUUUUUUCUGUUUCAACAAAGACAUUUUUGCUCUUUUUAGCUUAAGUUUUCCUUUUACCUUUUGUUUUACAUGUAUUUCUUCUAAGGAGACUCUUAUUUUUGUGGCUAUCGUGUAAUUUUACUAUAUGUUUUGGAAUGUUAUAGAGACCACCAAACUGUUCUCCCAAUAUAUACCUAGUGAUUCAUACCCCACCAGCAGCCAAUGAGAGUUCAGAUUGCACCAUAUUUUCACAAGUCCAUAAUUUUUGCCCAAAUGAUGGCUGUAAAAUGGAUUUACAUUGUAGCUUUUUAAAAAAUUUUUCUUUUCUUUUAUAAUUUCAAUUUUUAGAUUCAGGGAGUACAUGUGCAGUUUAUGUGAUUACACUGCAUGAUGCUGAGAAUGGGGUAUGGAUCCUGUCACGCAGAUAGUGAGUAUAAUGCCCACAAGGUGGUUUUUCAACCCAUGGGUCUUUAUGUCCAUGAGUACCCAAUGUUUAGUUCCUAUUUUCUUGUUCUCCACUUCUGCAAAAUGCUUGUUUAGAUACUUACUUGUAUUUCCCUUAUUAAUUUGUAGUUCUCCAAAUAUUCUGGAUGCCAGUCAUUUGUUUGUAUGUUCACUGGGAAUUUUUGUUCCUUUUUUAUUUAUUGAUUUUUUUUGACCAGUUUUUGGUUUCAAUUUUAGUUUCUAAAUGGUGUCUUAUAAUGAACAAAAGUAUAGUUUAAUACAAAUAGGUUAUUAAUCUUUGCUUUCAUGACUUGUGCUUUUUUUGUGUCUUAUUUAAACACCCUUCUGUGAGUCCCAGCCAGAGCAAUCAGUCAAGAGAAAGAAAUAAAGAUCAUCCAAAUAGGAAAAGAAGUCAAAAUAUCUCUCUUCACUGACUGUAUAAUUCUCUACCUAGAAAAUGUGAAGACUCCACCAAAAGUCUCUUAGAACUAAUAAAUGACUUCAAUAAAGUUUUAGGACACAAAAUUAAUGUACAAAACUCAUUAGCAUUUCGAUACACUGAUAACGUUCAAGCUGACAGCCAAAUCAGGAACACAAUCUCAUUUACCAUAUAGCCAUGUACAAAAAAAAAAUGUCUAGGAAUACAACCAACCAAGGAGGUGAAAGAUCUCUGCGAGGAGAACUACAAAACACUGCUUAAAAAAUCAUAGAUAACACAAAAAAAUGGAAAAACAUUUCAUGCUCAUGGAUUGGAAGAAUCAAUAUCUUUAAAAUGGCCAUACUGCCCAAAGCAAUCUGUAGAUUCAAUGCUAGUGCUAUCAAGCUACCAAUGUCAUUUUUCAUAGAACUAGAAAAAAAUAUACUAAAAUUCAUAUGGAACCAAAAAGGAGUCUGAAAAACCAAAGCAAUCUUAAGUAAAAAAGAACAAAGCUGGAAACAUAGACAAAUGAAACAGAAUUGAGAAUCCAGAAAUAAAGCCACACAUGUACAGCCAUCUGAUCUUCAGGAAAAUCAACAAAAAUAAGCAAUGGGGAAAGGACUUCCUAUUCAAUAAAUAGUACAGGGAUAGCUGGCUAGUCAUAUGCAGGAGAAUGAAACCUGACUUCUACCUUUUACCAUAUAAUGAAAUUCACUCAAGAUGGAUUAAAGAUUUAAAUGUAAGACCUCAAACUAUAAGAAUCCUGGAAGAAAAUCUGGGAAACAGCAGUCUGGACGUUGGCCUUAGGAAAGAAUUUAUGAUUAAGUCCUCAAAAGCAAUUGUGAGUCCCUGUCUCUACAAAAAGUGAAAACAAUUAGCUAGGCAUGGUAGUGCAUGCCUGUGGUCCCAGCUACUUGGGAGGCUGAGGUAGGAGGAUAACUUGAGCCCAGAAAGUUGAGGCUGUGGUGAGCCAUGUUUGCACCAUUGCACUCCAGCAUGGGCAACAGAGUGAGACCCUCUUUCAAAGGGCUCUUAUUAGAGAAAGGCAUGAGAGUCAGAGUUGGAGAGAGACUGGAAAAUGCUAUGCUGUUGGCUCCAAUGGAGGAAGAAGUGAGCCAAGGUCAUGAGCCUAGGAACGCAAAGAGCUGGUAAAGGCAACUGGACAAGAUGAAUUCUCCCCUAAAGCCUCCAGAGGAAUGCAGCCUUGUUAUUACCUUGAUUUUAGCCAAGACCUGUGUCACACUUUUGACCUCCAAAUCUACAAUAUAAAAAUGUAUGCUAUUUUGAGCCACUAAAUUUAUGG